UUGGGGGUCGUCUAGUGGUAGGACAGCAGCCUUUGGAGCUGCGAGCCUAGGUCCGAAUCCUAGCCCCCAAG
rnacentral:tRNA from 1 species